UGGGGAAUUUUCCGCAAUGGGCGCAAGCCUGACGGAGCAAUACCGCGUGAGGGAGGAAGGCUCUUGGGUCGUAAACCUCUUUUCUCAGGGAAGAACACAAUGACGGUACCUGAGGAAUAAGCAUCGGCUAACUCCGUGCCAGCAGCCGCGGUAAUACGGAGGAUGCAAGCGUUAUCCGGAAUGAUUGGGCGUAAAGCGUCCGUAGGUGGUUUUGUAAGUCCGUGGUUAAAGCGCGAAGCUCAACUUCGUAAGGGCCAUGGAAACUACAUAACUUGAGUAAAGUAGGGGUAGAGGGAAUUCCCAGUGUAGCGGUGAAAUGCGUAGAGAUUGGGAAGAACACCGGUGGCGAAAGCGCUCUACUGGACUUAAACUGACACUGAGGGACGAAAGCUAGGGGAGCGAAAGGGAUUAGAUACCCCUGUAGUC
rnacentral:rRNA from 1 species